rnacentral:rRNA from 1 species
CGGAGAAUGUUAUCACGGGAGACACACGGCGGGUGCUAACGUCCGUCGUGAAGAGGGAAACAACCCAGACCGCCAGCUAAGGUCCCAAAGUCAUGGUUAAGUGGGAAACGAUGUGGGAAGGCCCAGACAGCCAGGAUGUUGGCUUAGAAGCAGCCAUCAUUUAAAGAAAGCGUAAUAGCUCACUGGUCGAGUCGGCCUGCGCGGAAGAUGUAACGGGGCUAAACCAUGCACCGAAGCUGCGGCAGCGACACUCAGGUGUUGUUGGGUAGGGGAGCGUUCUGUAAGCCUGUGAAGGUGGCCUGUGAGGGUUGCUGGAGGUAUCAGAAGUGCGAAUGCUGACAUAAGUAACGAUAAAGCGGGUGAAAAGCCCGCUCGCCGGAAGACCAAGGGUUCCUGUCCAACGUUAAUCGGGGCAGGGUGAGUCGACCCCUAAGGCGAGGCCGAAAGGCGUAGUCGAUGGGAAACGGGUUAAUAUUCCCGUACUUGGUGUUACUGCGAAGGGGGGA